GGAAAGCUUAUAUUAUUUUGGAUUUUUCAAAUUUUAUUUUAUUUUUUAAAUGUAGAACUCGUGAAUUGCAAGGUUCUUAAAACUUGAAGAUCAGGGAGAGGCUAACAUCCAAAGAAACUGAGUUUUACAAAUAUGUCAAUGAAUUCCCCAAGCUUCCCUCAUUCCGAGUGCUGUUUCUCAAAGGUUAUUCACAUGCAGUAGAUCCAAUUGCUGCUGAUGCCACCUUAGUGUUUAUUUUCAUCCUUUUCAUUAUUUCUUCCCAGUCUUUGCAAACUGAUUAACUUGCAUCUUAUACUAAUAACUUUUGCAUUUUAAGACCCACAGCACAGGAGCUAUGUAAGAUGAUGAAGCCCCUUCCACAGUUUUGAGUUUGAUGAGAAGAUUCAUUAUUCUCAAGUGCUAGUAUGGACAGAAGUGAUGGUUCCAGCGGGCUACAGAAAUUAAGGCAGUGGGGUUCUAAUACAUCCAAAAUGCAGCAUCAAUGAUAGGGACCAGCUACUAGAAUUAUUCCUAUCUGUACACUCAAGUUACUGGAAAUGAUGUAAGAAAACUUUUCCACUGCUCAGGAGCAGUAAGAGUCAAGAGAUUUUAGAUUUAACAGCUAAGCCUCUGACUUUACCCAUGAAAAAUGCCCCUUAAUUUGGCAUGGAUAUGGUUUUUCUAUGAUUAGGGAAUUACUUUAUUUCUGAGUCUGUAAUUUCCUACUAUAACAGCUCAAAACUAAGAUCCAUCAGAAAUUAUCACAAAGAAAAAAAUCCUGUGAAAAUCUAACAAAAAGGAAAUGUCACCUUUUACAACUCGGGCGAUAUUGCCAACUCAAUGCAAGACAGGCUGAUUUAACUUUUCACAUUUGACUUCUUGUGUUGAAGUGAAGAAGGAAAAUCUAGACAAGCCAACAAAUACUCUUUCUAACUGAAAUCUGCAAUUACAUGUCUUUCUUAAAGUUAAUGUCACUAGAAAUGACAUGUUACAUAUACCUUUUAAACCCUGAAAAGGAAAAUCUUCAUGUUAUCUUAAUACCACACUACCUGUCAUUUGACUGUCCUGGUACAGAGAAGAUACAUGAGUGUGUCCCACCACACCUUUCAUUGCAGUCAAAAACUUCUCUUUCUUCCCAACAGGUUUAGGAUAAUGCAUUUCUUUUCUUCUUUUAAAAAGAAAAAUGUUUAUCUAGGAAUGAGACCAACCCAAAAUAUCAAAUAUAAACCGCUUUUCACCAUGAAAAAUUAUUUAGGUAGAGGAGAAACCCAACCUUGAAAGUUUUUUCUCACGUUCUCAAUGAUACCCAUUUCAAAUGCCUAAGCAACUCCAGUACCAAGUGGAGUGAAUGGAUUUAUAUCCAUACUACUUCACAGUAGCAUCUUUUGGGGUAGAUUGCCUUCAGCCGGGGUCUCUAGCCUUUAAAUCUUACUAUCUUCCUAUCCCCAUGUGGUACUGUGUUGCCCUAAUAUGUUAUCAUUAUUGUACACUUCCAAAAAUUCCAAGAGUUUAUAAUGCAUAGGCUACUUUGCAGCCUCCCAGAGAGUCUGGUUUUAUAUCACAAAACUGAGGUUACAGGAAGGACUGAGGCAGUGGCAUGAAGGUGCAUUUGAGGGUGCUAAGCAUUCUGAGAUAGUUUUUUAAAAUACUGUGUAGGUAGAGGAAGCUAUAUUUGAUGCACUGAAUUGAUUCAUCCUGCUUUUUGGGAGCACUCCAAUCCAGCUUGGGAGUGAUCCAGAGUAAAUCAAGGAAAUGAACCAAUGAUCAGGGAUCCAGUGCUUAAGCCUGCUUCCUAGCCAUUGUUAAGCAUUUUAGAUGUGCCCUGUGUAACAGGAUCUAAAACGCAAAUAACACAUAUCUCAAUGCAGCAAUUUUUUACAUCUUAUUUAUACCCUCAGCAAACACUGUAUAUAAACACUGUUAUAAAAUAUCUAGCUCCAAGAAAAAAAAUGCAGUAUUAACAGUAACAGCUUUGAAUCAGGCCCAAAGAAAGUAUAGAAAUAGAUACUACAAGACAGCAAUAAAAGGGGACUGAAAGAAAAACAGGACCAUUGCCAAUCACUUCCAGUUUUAUGAAAUUAAAUGUCAUCAAACAAACCAUGUAGAAAUUUUGAGCAGAUUAGUUUCUUCUUCACGUAAAAUGUCUAAAUUUUAAGCAUUUCAUUUAGCAUCGAGGAAUAGUUAUAGCUAUGGAAAAAUCAAUAUAAAACAAAAGAUACUGAGAGAUUGCAAGGCACAAUGUUAAUGGGGAACCUUAUUAAUUGGAGAUUUUUUCAGUGGAGUCAGAUGACUUCAUUUCAAUGUUUGUCUCAUUGGCCAGUUUAAAAUUGAAAACUUCUAUGGCUGUUUAACAAACUUGUAUUUUAACACAACGAAAUGCAAGAUGAUGCAUGCAGGAACUACGACUGUGUACGCCAUUCACAGGAUGCACGCAGAUAUCAUUUCUAGAUGUGAGUCUGGAAGACCUGAGGCAAGAUUUGUCAGUUACUCUGGUCUGAUCCUGAAUGACUCUCAUGGAAGCAGCAAUUGUAUCCUCCUUCAAAAAUUAUUUCCUAUACCACAGAUAAAUUCCACUGAACAUUACUGAGUUCCUGAUUUUAGAAUCACAUACAGACAUGGUUGAACACUGCAGCAGAAAGACCUGCUCGAAAGUCUUUUUCCAUGGCCAAGUAGCUGAACACCCUGGAGGAUAUUGUGGGUGAAAUGGGAAUCACUCAUCUCAGAGGCUGUUGCCACCUCGACAGAGGCACUUCUGAAACAGAUAUUUCACCAUACCUCACUCUAUGGUCUGUACAACAAUGUCCUCAUUCUACAUCCAGAUGUGAGCAAUAUCUGCGUCCCAGUAAGUUUCAUAACUAGUUUUGUUCCCAUAUACUAGUUUUGUCACACCACAGAAAUGCAAGUUAUCUGCAAAGAAAAUGCCCAUCUUUUCCAUUGACACUUA